rnacentral:rRNA from 1 species
UACGUAGGUGGCAAGCGUUGUCCGGAUUUACUGGGCGUAAAGCGCGCGCAGGCGGCUGGCCAAGUCCGAUGUGAAAGCUUCCGGCUUAACUGGAAAACGGCAUCGGAUACUGGUCGGCUGGAAGGUGGGAGAGGGUAGCGGAAUUCCCGGUGUAGUGGUGAAAUGCGUAGAUAUCGGGAGGAACACCAGUGGCGAAAGCGGCUACCUGGCCCACUCUUGACGCUGAGGCGCGAAAGCUAGGGGAGCAAACGGGAUUAGAUACCCCGGUAGUCCUAGCCGUAAACGAUGAACACUAGGCGUUGUCGGUAUCGACCCCGGCAGUGCCGAAGCUAACGCAUUAAGUGUUCCGCCUGGGGAGUACGGCCGCAAGGCUAAA